UAUGCAGUUUAGAAAAUUCUUACAGUAAUUACUGUGUAAAGCAGAGACUGAUUUUCAUCUCAGGGAUUUGGCAGAAAUGUGAAAAUACCAACACAGAGGAGGAUUUUCCUGAUGACAGAUACGAGGCCAACAAGUUUUGUGUUAUCCAUUUUCUUCCCUUCUUGAAAAAAGGCAUUGCAGUUUUCCAAUCCUCUAGAACCACCUGGAAUCAGUCUGUCAGGAUCAAGAAUGACUUUCUUCCACCUCAGUUCUCUGCCUUCUAAGAUGGCAAACAAGAACAACUCGAGAUCUGCAGACUCUGACACAUGUUGGGCGGUGACAAGUGGAUUGACAAGGACAGUGUAAAGGGUGCAACCUAUCCGGAUGCAUCAUGGGGAAUGCUCUGAACAGGAGCAUACGAAAAUUCAGAAGGUUUUGAACACAGCCCAGGCCAUCAUGCAGGCCAACCUUCAAUCCAUUGACUCCAUCUACACUUCUUGAUGCCUCACAAAGACAGAUAGCAUCAUUAAAGACCCCUCCCACUCUGGUUAUAAUCUCUUCCAAACUCUUAUGCAAGGCAGAAAAUACAAAAACUUAAACACACUUGCCAACAGAUUCAAGAUUAGCUUCUCCCUCUUUGGUAUCAGACUUCUGAAUGGACUCCUCAAAUUUCAAAUCUUGCUUUUGUACACCUUCUUUGCAGCUGUAACUUUGUACUCCUUGCUCUGUUCAGUCACCCUAUAAUCUUUGUAUGUAAUGAUCUGCCUGUACUGCAACAAAAUAAAACUUAUUACUACACUUAGCUACAUGUGCCAAUAAUAAAUCAAAACAAAUCAAUUUCACAGCAAAAUUUACAACAAAGACCCACAUGACAGCCUGUUCAAAAUAGUAAAAGUUUUUGGGCAUCAAGGGAGACUGGCGACUAAUUUGGUUUAUUGGCAGGAGAUAAAUCUAAUGAUUGCUGAGAUAACACGGUGCGAAGCUGGAUGAACAGAAAACUUUCUGAAGGAUGGUCUUUACCUGAAAUGUCAAACUUUCCUGCUCCUCUGAUGCAGCUUGACCUGCUGUGUUCACCCAGCUUCACACUGUGUUAUCUCAGAUUCUCCAGCAUCGGCAGUUCCUACAAUCUCUCUAAUGAUUGCUGACUGUUUUUACUACUGAAAAGCUGUCACCAAUGGGGUUCUGUAGGAUUCAGAGCUUAAUCGCUUGAUUUUUGUAAUCAGUUAUUCCUCCCUACAAAGCCUCCCUGUUGCGCUGAAUUACUGCGCAGCUCUGUUUUCUAACUUCCACCUGAUUAGCGAUAUAAACUUCAACAACAUCAAAAAUUACCUUGACAGCAGAAAAUCUGAUAAUGACUUAACUGAAAUUCCUGGAUUAAUUACUUCCUAAAAUUCCAAGCUCACAAUUUCCCAUCGGCCAAUAUAAGAUAUGAAUAAAGGAAUGGACACUCUCCCUCUGUUAUUGGGUGUCCAUUAACUUUACGUUCUCAAUUAUGAUGUUUUUUCUCAAACAAAAGUAGGCAACAAAUGCUUUUGUAACUUCAUUACAUGCACUCAUUUCUUCAUGGAUCACCUUGCUGAUCAAAACAUCAUCUGUCCUACUGCCUAUCGCAUAGAAAAGAGAACUGAUUCAUUACUUACUGGACUUUCAGUUAAUUCUGUCGUGGUGUGUCACCUUGUGAAUCUAUGAAGCUAGUUCAGGCACUUAUCAGCCAUUUUGGACCUGCCAUGUGUCCAAAGAACUUCUGUAAGAUCUUCCCAAUUGUGGCCUAGUGCAGUGGCUGUGCUCCAUGUGG